rnacentral:lncRNA from 1 species
CUUGUUGAACCUUCUCAGUCCCUGGCAAUGGCAUGCAGCAUAACAGAGCUGAUGCAACGCUAUAAUCUGAAACUGCCCUUUCAAUUUACAGAGAGCAACAAAAAGGAAGCAUAAGAAACACUGCUCCUAGCUACCUGCGUGCGUACGAGGGAGCAUAAACUGCAAGCACUGUUUCUCUUGUUUGGGUCUACCCCACUGCGCCAAGAGGUCCCUGGAAUGCUACCACUAGAAGCUAGAGACUAGAGAGUACGCAGGCACAACCAGUCGAGACGGCCCAUUUCAGGCUGAUUGCACUUGUCGUGCAUGGACUGCAUGCUAGCUCCACCCGCGAGCAUAGCCGGUAGCAGCUCAUGCCCCUUGCAGAGCCGACAUAAUGCUUUUGAGCACUAAGGCAUUUGAUUUCCCAGUUCGUUGAUUUCCCCAUGCGUCCCACUC